CAGUCGCCACGGUAAUACGUAGGUGGCAAGCGUUGUCCGGAAUUAUUGGGCGUAAAGCGAGCGCAGGCGGUUAGAUAAGUCUGAAGUUAAAGGCUGUGGCUUAACCAUAGUACGCUUUGGAAACUGUUUAACUUGAGUGCAAGAGGGGAGAGUGGAAUUCCAUGUGUAGCGGUGAAAUGCGUAGAUAUAUGGAGGAACACCGGUGGCGAAAGCGGCUCUCUGGCUUGUAACUGACGCUGAGGCUCGAAAGCGUGGGGAGCAAACAGGAUUAGAUACCUCAGUAGUCCCUGUCUCUUAUACA
rnacentral:rRNA from 1 species